UACGUAGGGUGCAAGCGUUGUCCGGAAUUAUUGGGCGUAAAGAGUUCGUAGGCGGUUUGUCGCGUCCGCUGUGAAAGUCGGGGGCUCAACCCUCGGAUGCCGGUGGAUACUGUCGGGCUCGAGUACGGAAGAGGCGAGUGGAAUUCCUGGUGUAGCGGUGAAAUGCGCAGAUAUCAGGAGGAACACCUAUUGCGAAGGCAGCUCGCUGGGACGUUACUGACGCUGAGGCACGAAAGCUAGGGGAGCAAACAGG
rnacentral:rRNA from 1 species